CAGGACGAACGCUGGCGGCGUGCCUAACACGAUGCAAGUCGAACGGGUCCCGCAAGGGACCAGUGGCGAACGGGUGCGUAACACGUGAGGAACUUGCCCAUCGGCGGGGGAUAGCCGGCCCAACGGCCGGGUAAUACCGCGUACGACCCUUGGGGGCAUCCCUUGGGGGUGAAAGCAGCAAUGCACCGAUGGAGAGCCUCGCGGCCUAUCAGCUAGUUGGUGAGGUAAUGGGCUCACCAAGGCGACGACGGGUAGCUGGUCUGAGAGGAUGAUCAGCCACAUUGGGACUGAGACACGGCCCAGACUCCUACGGGAGGCAGCAGUGGGGAAUAUUGCGCAAUGGGCGAAAGCCUGAACCGCAGCGACGCCGCGUGAGGGAUGAAGGCCUUCGGGUUGUAAACCUCUGUCGGGAGGGACGAAGCUCUGACGGUACCUCCAAAGGAAGCACCGGCUAACUCUGUGCCAGCCGCCGC
rnacentral:rRNA from 1 species